rnacentral:rRNA from 1 species
UACGGAGGGCAGCAGUGGGGAAUAUUGCACAAUGGGCGCAAGCCUGAUGCAGCCAUGCCGCGUGUAUGAAGAAGGCCUUCGGGUUGUAAAGUACUUUCAGUCGUGAGGAAGGUGUUAAGGUUAAUAACCUUAGCAAUUGACGUUAGCGACAGAAGAAGCACCGGCUAACUCCGUGCCAGCAGCCGCGGUAAUACGGAGGGUGCGAGCGUUAAUCGGAAUUACUGGGCGUAAAGGGCACGCAGGCGGUUAAUUAAGUUGGAUGUGAAAUCCCCGGGCUUAACCUGGGAAUGGCAUUCAAGACUGGUUAGCUAGAGUCUUGUAGAGGGGGUAGAAUUCCAUGUGUAGCGGUGAAAUGCGUAGAGAUGUGGAGGAAUACCGGUGGCGAAGGCGGCCCCUGGACAAAGACUGACGCUCAUGUGCGAAAGCGUGGGGAGCAAACAGGGAUUAGAUACC